rnacentral:lncRNA from 10 species
GGCUACCAGGGAAGACCACGCUCUGAUGCACUUACCCUGACCACCUCCCACCUCCUGAGCUGGGGCUGGGUCUGCAGGGGGGCAGAUACCUGAACAAAACUGGAGUUUUGAUAACAACAAAGAAAAUACAAUUUUACUUAAAGUGAUCCAAGGGGACACUGAGUCAGCCAUUCAUGAAGCUGAACAUCAUUUCAAGGGACGCUGGCUCCGGUAUCAUGGUGAACGCCAAGGUGAAGAGCAGCCGCAUGAGAUCCCAAAGGAAAGCCCGGGAGUCACACAAGUGGAGUACAGCAGCAAACCCCCUCCACCGCCUGCCCUUGGCUUUGGUCUUGCCAGGGAACAGCUGAUGCCGACUAGAUGACGCAACCAGGAAGUGAAUAUCCUGUCUGCUCCUUGUUCUGUGCUGUCUGUGUGUCCUAGCUUGCCAUCCCAAAUCAAGGCAUCCCUUGAAAUCCCCUGGGUCCAAGCAUCCAGAUGCUCAGUGAACGCAGUGCUCUAACUCCAUCUUCCACUUUCCAUUAAGAAGUCAAUGACUCUUAUUCAAUACAACUCCAUCUUCUGCUAACCCCUAAAAGGAAUUUACAUUCUGCUCAUUUCACUUCCCAUUAUAUUGUAUUAAUUUUCCCAUCAUUAAACCUUUUAAACCCAAUA